rnacentral:rRNA from 1 species
GCAGGCCUAACACAUGCAAGUCGAGCGGUAGAGAGGAAGCUUGCUUCUCUUGAGAGCGGCGGACGGGUGAGUAAUGCCUAGGAAUCUGCCUGGUAGUGGGGGAUAACGUUCGGAAACGAACGCUAAUACCGCAUACGUCCUACGGGAGAAAGCAGGGGACCUUCGGGCCUUGCGCUAUCAGAUGAGCCUAGGUCGGAUUAGCUAGUUGGUGAGGUAAUGGCUCACCAAGGCGACGAUCCGUAACUGGUCUGAGAGGAUGAUCAGUCACACUGGAACUGAGACACGGUCCAGACUCCUACGGGAGGCAGCAGUGGGGAAUAUUGGACAAUGGGCGAAAGCCUGAUCCAGCCAUGCCGCGUGUGUGAAGAAGGUCUUCGGAUUGUAAAGCACUUUAAGUUGGGAGGAAGGGCAGUUACCUAAUACGUGAUUGUUUUGACGUUACCGACAGAAUAAGCACCGGCUAACUCUGUGCCAGCAGCCGCGGUAAUACAGAGGGUGCAAGCGUUAAUCGGAAUUACUGGGCGUAAAGCGCGCGUAGGUGGUUUGUUAAGUUGGAUGUGAAAUCCCCGGGCUCAACCUGGGAACUGCAUUCAAAACUGACUGACUAGAGUAUGGUAGAGGGUGGUGGGAAUUUCCUGUGUAGCGGUGAAAUGCGUAGAUAUAGGAAGGAACACCAGUGGCGAAGG